rnacentral:rRNA from 1 species
UGCCAGCAGCCGCGGUAAUACGGAGAGGGCAAGCGUUGUUCGGAAUCACUGGGCAUAAAGAGCACGUAGGCGGGUUGGUUAGUCGGUUGUGAAAGCCCGGAGCUCAACUCCGGAAUAGCUUCCGAAACUGCCAGCCUGGAGGACGAGAGGGGAGAGUGGAACUUCUGGUGGAGCGGUGAAAUGCGUAGAUAUCAGAAGGAACACCAGUGGCGAAGGCGGCUUUCUGGACCGAUACUGACGCUGAGACGCGAAAGCGUGGGGAGCAAACAGGAUUAGAUA